GGCUUUGCUCUUAGUAUGAAAACACUACUGUAAGUUUUAAAGAAGUCACUUAUUUUGCUAUUCAUAUUCUGUUUAAUGUCUGAAAAUACCUGUCUUAAAACUUUGUAAAACAAACUUGAAGUUAUAGGUAAGGUAAGCCAUCACCAGUACUGCAGGUCAAACAUUGAGUUUUGGAAAUCGUUUUGAUAUCCCAUAAUACUAAUAUCCUAGUAGUUUUUUAUUAUCUGGUUCUGUUUCCUAGUUGAUAUCCCCAAUCCCAUGUUUUUCUAUAAUAUUCUAAACAGCAAAAUGACAGUGAAGGUUGCUCAGUUCUAAGCUGUGGUUCCAAAUGAAAAGUCACAGUCUUCUGUGAAAUUAAGAAUUGAUUUUUUGUUUUUGUUUAAUCUGGGAGGUUGUGAUACACCCCAUUACAAAAAACUGACUCAAUUGAACUGACUCAAAUCACUUGAUCAUUAGCCAACUUAAUUGAUCCUUAAAGUGGUCUCUGUACACAAGCACUCAUGAGGUUUGUGAAGGAUUAGAAGAGGCUGGACCAAAACUUGGAUUUCAUUCCAGUUUGGGGCUGAAUCCUUUUGGCCCACAAAAGGACAACCAAUCACACUGAGUCUCAUUUAUCCUGUAAUCUCCAUAUAUGUUACAAGAGAAUAGUCAAGUAAGGUCUAGCAACCUCAUGGUCUGCUAAGAAAGUGCUGAGGCCAGAGAAGGUUGGUGGGGGGUUGGGGGGGUACUUGCUUACCUUCCUCUCCAUUUAAUUGGUAACAACUUGAAGCUUCCAGUCUACCCCAGCUGGACUGGGAGUGAGACUUAACCUGGAAUCCCUCAGUGAGGGGUGCAUUUACAUAGAGCACCCCAUGAAUGUGAGUGACCCCAGCAUGUGGUGCAGCUCUUGCCUAGAAUACCCUGGUGAGGGAUUAGGGGUACGCUAGAGGGUGGGGUAUGAUGUGUGGCUCAGGAGUGGAGCGAUUGCCUAGCAUGCAAGUCCCUCGGGUGCAAUCUCUAGCACUGCCUGCCCCAAAAGUUCUUACUUCCUCAAUGGAGGAAGAUUGUGAUUAAAUAGAAAAAUCUUGUCCUAAGAGUACCAGUGUUAAGGGUUAGGGUGGUUGUGCAAGCAAAAUUUUAAAUUGAGUGUAUUUUUAUAAACUUUCAGUUAAAGAUUAUUGCAAGCAGGUCCGUGAUGAUAAGCCUAAAUUUAUAUAGUUAACUCAGGCACUGUCUUUUUGUUCAUAGGCUAGAUAAACCAUCCUGUUUCAUCCAUUCACAGCAUAUAUUAGAAUAAAUUAGACCCAAAGAAGAAACUUUGUAUGCCAGCAGGAUUAAAUCAUUGCUGUUAAAAAGUGGAUCCUUGAUUUGACCAGCCUCUGAAGAGUCCAGAUGCUCAGUAGAUGUUCAAUAAAUAAUUUUUAAAUGG
rnacentral:lncRNA from 1 species